UACGUAGGGGGCGAGCGUUGCCCGAAUUUACUGGGCGUAAAGCGCACGUAGGCGGCUUCGUAAGUCUGGUGUGAAAUCUCACGGCUCAACCGAGAGGCUGCACCAGAUACUGCGAAGCUCGAGGACGGGAGAGGAGAUCGGAAUUCCCGGUGUAGCGGUGAAAUGCAUUGAUAUCGGGAGGAGCACCAGUGGCGAAGGCGGAUCUCUGGCCCGUUGCUGACGAUGAGGUGCGAAAGCUGGGGGAGCGAAAGGG
rnacentral:rRNA from 1 species